UUUUAAAAAAAAAAAAUACUGAUGCUCAGUCUCAACCUCAAACUGAAGAAAUUAGAAUUCCUGCGAGUCAAGUGUUUCUAAAGUGCUCCCUAGGUGAUUCUAACAUGCAACUAGCACUGAGAACUGCAGACCAGUCCAACAUCUUCAUUUUAGUGAGAUGAAGAAGUCAGAAAAAGAGAGAUGCCAGAGGCAGGGAGGAGGAGUGUAUCAUGUAAUUUGGGUCCAAUAAGGGCACAGUCAACUGUAUUAAAAUGCUUAAGAAGUAGAGAAGGACGAGUACCAAGAAAAGGUCAUCAAAUUUAGUAAUGAGGAUGAUACUGUUGGACUUACAGGCACAAACAACAGAACAAAACCAGCUCAUAGACUCUCUCACCACUAGCUAAGACGAUGAACAAAAUACCGUGGACAAACACAGAAGCCAAAAGGAAACAAUAAACAUUUCCCAGUUGCAACUUAACAAGGAAAAAGGAACAACUUCUUAUUAUAUACUUUGAAAAAGAAGCAUCAGCCAGGUGCACUGGCUCACGCCUGUAAUCCCAGCACUUUGGGAGGCCGAGGUGGGUGGAUCACCUGAGGUCAGCAGUUCAAGACCAUCCUGGCCAACAUGGCGAAACCCCAUCUCUACUAAAAAUACAAAAAUUAGCUGGGCGUGGUGGCACGUGCCUGUAAUCCCAGCUACACAGGAGGCUGAGACAGGAGAAUUGCUUGAACCCAGGAGGUGGAGGUUGCAGUGAGCUGAGAUCGUACCACUGCACUCCAGCCUGGGUGACAAAGCGAGAAAGAAAAAAAGAGAGAGAGAGAGAGAGAGAGAGAAAGGAAGAAAAGAAAGAGAGAGAAGCAUCAAGGGAAAAACCAAAAGAUUCUGCAGUGGUACAAUAUGGUGUGGCUUCUGCCUGCUUUCCUCUCCCCAGAAACACCAUGGUGGAAGAAGGGAUUCCAAGGCCAAAAAGAAAAUUAAGUGAAAAGAAAAUUAAAGGUGAAAAGAAGACAACAUGCAAAAGGUGGAAAAAGAACCACAUCUGGAAGAAAACAUAAUCAAGAAAUAGAUUUCCUGUGCAUGCAUCAUGCAACAGGGGCACUUUAUUUCAAAAAAUAAUUGUUUUAUUCCAGAAGGGUUUAACACUCUUGGAGAAAAGAGAUUUAGAGGAGUGGUGAGACAGAAACCAGAUGCCAGGCUAGGCGUGGUGGCUCACGCCUGUAAUCCCAGCACUUUGGGAGGCCAAGGUAAGCAGAUCACAUGAGGCCAAGAGUACAAGACGAGCCUGGCCAACAUGGUGAAACCCCAUCUCCACUAGAAAUACAAAAAAUUAACUGGGCAUGGUGAUGCACACCCAUGGUCCCAGCUACUUGGGAGACUGAAGUGGGAGAAUCGCUUAAGCCCAGGAAACAGAGGCCACAGUGAGCCAAGAUCAUACCACUGCACUCCAGCCUAGAAAACAGAGCAAGACUCUGCCUCAAUUUCAAAAAAAAAAAAAAAGAAAGAAAAGAAAAAGAAAAACAGAUCCCAGAGAGCAAAGGUAAGGCUUAUUCAGGAUAAAUAAAAAGGAAAAACAGAAGUUUGAGAGCUACUUAUUUGAGAAAAAGAGGGGAUUAUUAUUAUUUUUGUUAUUUUUUUAAUCAUGAGAUGGAAUCAUUGAGCAUAUUUGUAGGAGAGAGAAAAUAAGUGUCAGAAAGUCUUAAAAAAAAAAAAAAAAAAAAAGGAAAUUCUGACACACACCACUCCCUGGAUGAACCUUGAAGACAUUGUGCUAAGUGAAACAAGCCAGUCACGAAAAGACAAACAUUGUAUGAUUCCACUGAUCUAAAGUACCCUGAGUAGUCAAAUUAGUAGAGUCAGAAAGUAGAACAAGGAUUGCCAGGGGCUGGGGAAGGGGAAAUGGGGAGUUGUUUAAUGAUACAAAGUUUCAUGUUUGCAAGAUGAAAAGGGUUCUGGAGAUCCUUUGCACAGCAAUGUGAACAUACUGAACAUGACUGUACACUUAAAAUGGUUAAGAUGGUAAAUGUUAUGUUAUAUGCUUUUUACCAUAAUUAAAAAUAAAUAUAUAAAUAAAUAAAAUAGAAAGUCUUAAGGUUCAAAUAGCCACUUUUGUCACCUCACUCUCAUGGUGGCAACUCAUCUGUUCAAGGUGAUUUCCGUCCUCUCUGAUGGAAAGGAAUCCUAUUGGAUCCAGCCUGACUUUGACCAUAUGCUGAAGCCACACUGUAGAAGAUAACUUGGACUACAUCAUUUAAAAAUAAUAACUUUUCAUCAUAAGUUGAUAAUAGAUGACAAGUACUAUACCACAACUUAAUCUGUAUUUAUAUCACUCAGUGUUAAUUACCUGGUUGUGGCACAGCUCGCUGUAGAAUCUAAAAGCGUUGUCUAUGUUCAUUAGCAGGAAAAUAAACUGCAGCCUCUGUACUGAGCAACAGCUUUGCUUUCUCAUGCAUAACUGUUUGGAAGAAACCCCAAAACUCCAGUAUCCAUACAAGUCCUGGAAUUCUCGCAGAUGAAUUUUCAAGAUAAUCCUUAUUCAUUUUGUAGCAAUUCCUCCUCUGUACACCCAUUUCCUGUUUGAUUAUUUUUAGCAUUACUCAAGCUGAAGAUUCUACUCUGUUGGUAACAAGCUAUACCCUCAAAUUGCUCUUUAAGGUGGUCGGCAAGGCUCUUUAAUUUAAGAACAUCCAGAAAUCUCAAAUUGAGAGGAUGAGACCCCGGGAAUAGAUCACCUAAAAGAUGAAUGGAAUGGGCUUCUCAUCUCUCCUGUGUGCAAUAUACAGAAAGAAUUUUCACCGUAUUUAAUUGCCUUUCCCUCUCGUUGAUAUCUGGCUCUUUAAAGGAGUGCAAGAUAGUUAGUUAAAAAAGAAAAAAUGCCUGUACCCAUGGCAACCUCUGAUGAAAAGGACCAGCAGCUAUUUCCAAGGAUAGGUGGUUUAGAUGAAAGACCUGAAGCUAUGAUAGGUCAGCCAACAUAGAAAGCAAAUGUGUGGUGUACCAUAAGAGCAUUCCUUCCAGGAGAGGAGUGUUUUGGGAUUGAAGAUAUCCCAAGUGGCCUCUUUAAAACCCCAAUCGAUGUAAUAGUUUACAAACAGCACUGUAUCAUAAUGAGCAUAAACAUUUCUAUGGAUAACACAAUUUUCAUUUCUAUCUAUUUUCAUAAUUGC
rnacentral:lncRNA from 1 species